CCCUGCCUUUUGUACACACCGCCCGUCGCUCCUACCGAUUGGGUGUGCUGGUGAAGUGUUCGGAUUGGCGACAGCGGGGGCAACUCUGCUGCUGCCGAGAAGUUCAUUAAACCCUCCCACCUAGAGGAAGGAGAAGUCGUAACAAGGUUUCCGUAGGUGAACCUGCAGAAGG
rnacentral:rRNA from 1 species